rnacentral:rRNA from 1 species
UACGGGGGGGGCAAGCGUUGUUCGGAAUUACUGGGCGUAAGGGGCUCGUAGGCGGCCAACUAAGUCGGACGUGAAAUCCCUCGGCUUAACCGGGGAACUGCGUCCGAUACUGGAUGGCUUGAGUUCGGGAGAGGGAUGCGGAAUUCCAGGUGUAGCGGUGAAAUGCGUAGAUAUCUGGAGGAACACCGGUGGCGAAGGCGGCAUCCUGGACCGACACUGACGCUGAGGAGCGAAAGCCAGGGGAGCAAACGGG